GUUUAAGAGCCUGUUCUGAGCACAGAGAUCAGAGGAUUAAAAAGAUCAUAUCUCUUGAGUAUAAGUACCUCUAAUUGGCUCUCUCCUGCCAGAGAAGAGAGAUGUGUUUUAGAACAGAGAGAGGUGUGUUUUAGAACAGAGAGAUGUGUUUUAGAACAGAGAGAUGUGUUUUAGAACAGAGAGAUGUGUUUUUGAACAGAGAGAUAUGUGUUUUAGAACGGAGAGAGAUGUGUUUUUGAACAGAGAGAUAUGUGUUUUUGAACAGAGAGAUGUGUUUUAGAACAGAGAGAUGUGUUUUAGAACAGAGAGAUGUGUUUUAGAACGGAGAGAGAUGUGUUUUAGAACAGAGAGAGGUGUGUUUUAGAACAGAGAGAUGUGUUUUAGAACAGAGAUGUGUUUUAGAACAGAGAUGUGUUUUAGAACAGAGAGAUGUGUUUUAGAACAGAGAGAUGUGUUUUAGAACAGAGAGAUGUGUUUUAGAACAGAGAGAGAUGUGUUUUUGAACAGAGAGAGAUGUGUUUUUGAACAGAUAGAGAUGUGUUUUAGAACAGAGAGGUGUGUUUUAGAACAGAGAGAUGUGUUUUAGAACAGAGAGAGGUGUGUUUUAGAACAGAGAGAGGUGUGUUUUAGAAGAGAGAUGUGUGUUUUAGAACAGAGAGAUGUGUUUUGAACAGAGAUGUGUUUUAGAACAGAGAUGUGUUUUAGAACAGAGAUGUGUUUUGAACAGAGAUGUGUUUUGAACAGAGAGAGGUGUGUUUUAGAACAGAGAGAGGUGUGUUUUAGAACAGAGAGAGAUGUGUUUUAGAACAGAGAGAG
rnacentral:lncRNA from 1 species